GACCUGUGCUCAGUCGGCAGAGCACGAGACGCUUAAAUCUCAGGGUCGUGGGUUCGAAUCCUAAGUUGGACA